rnacentral:pre_miRNA from 1 species
UUUGACGUAAAUUGAUUUAUGUUUGGAUACACAUAUAAAAGUGAUUAUCAUGAGUUGAUGUUGUUUGGAUAG